AAAUUGAAGAGUUUGAUCAUGGCUCAGAUUGAACGCUGGCGGCAGGCCUAACACAUGCAAGUCGAACGGUAGCAGGAAGCAGCUUGCUGCUUCGCUGACGAGUGGCGGACGGGUGAGUAAUGUCUGGGAAACUGCCUGAUGGAGGGGGAUAACUACUGGAAACGGUGGCUAAUACCGCAUAACGUCGCAAGACCAAAGAGGGGGACCUUCGGGCCUCUUGCCAUCAGAUGUGCCCAGAUGGGAUUAGCU
rnacentral:rRNA from 1 species